rnacentral:rRNA from 1 species
AUUGAACGCUGGCGGCAUGCCUUACACAUGCAAGUCGAACGGCAGCACGGGAGCAAUCCUGGUGGCGAGUGGCGAACGGGUGAGUAAUGUAUCGGAACGUGCCCAGUCGUGGGGGAUAACGCAGCGAAAGCUGUGCUAAUACCGCAUACGAUCUAAGGAUGAAAGCGGGGGAUCGCAAGACCUCGCGCGAUUGGAGUGGCCGAUAUCAGAUUAGCUAGGUGGUGGGGUAAAGGCUCACCAAGGCGACGAUCUGUAGCUGGUCUGAGAGGACGACCAGCCACACUGGAACGAAGACACGGUCCAGACUGCUACGGGAGGCAGCAGUGGGGAAUUUUGGACAAUGAGAGCUAGCCUGGUCCAGCAAUGCCGCGUGCAGGAUGAAGGCCUUCGGGUUGUAAACUGCUUUUAUACGGAGCGAAAAGGCUCUCUCUAAUACGGGGGGCUCAUGACGGUACCGUAAGAAUAAGCACCGGCUAACUACGUGCCAGCAGCCGCAGUAA